rnacentral:rRNA from 1 species
UGGGGGAUAUUGCACAAUGGGGGGGAACCCCGUGAUGCAGCGACGCCGCGUGGGUGAAGAAGCGCCUCGGCGCGUAAAGCCCUGUCAGCAGGGAAGAAAAUGACGGUACCUGAAG